CUCCUGGAAACGGGUGGUAAUGCCGGAUGCUCCGACUCCUCGCAUGGGGUGUCGGGAAAGAUUUCAUCGGUAUGGGAUGGGGUCGCGUCCUAUCAGGUAGUCGGCGGGGUAACGGCCCACCGAGCCUACGACGGGUAGCCGGCCUGAGAGGGCGACCGGCCACAUUGGGACUGAGAUACGGCCCAGACUCCUACGGGAGGCAGCAGUGGGGAAUAUUGCACAAUGGGCGCAAGCCUGAUGCAGCGACGCCGCGUGCGGGAUGACGGCCUUCGGGUUGUAAACCGCUUUUGAUCGGGAGCAAGCCUUCGGGUGAGUGUACCUUUCGAAUAAGCACCGGCUAACUACGUGCCAGCAGCCGCGGUAAUACGUAGGGUGCAAGCGUUAUCCGGAAUUAUUGGGCGUAAAGGGCUCGUAGGCGGUUCGUCGCGUCCGGUGUGAAAGUCCAUCGCUUAACGGUGGAUCUGCGCCGGGUACGGGCGGGCUGGAGUGCGGUAGGGGAGA
rnacentral:rRNA from 1 species